CCUACGGGUGGCAGCAGUGGGGAAUAUUGGUCAAUGGGCGCAAGCCUGAACCAGCAACGCCGCGUGAAGGAUGAAGGCUUUCGGGUUGUAAACUUCUUUUGAUAGGGAAGUUAAUAACAGUAUGUAUCGUGCAUGCCCUGGAUAACUCUGUGCCAGAAGCGGCGGUAACAUGCAGGGUGCAAGCGUUAUUCGGAGUCUCUGGGGGUUAAGGGGGCGUAGGCGGGAUAGCAAGUCAGAUGUGAAAUCCUCCGGCUCAACCGUAGAACUGCAUUUGAAACCGUUAUUUUUGAGUACAGGAGAGGUAGGUGGAAUUCUUGGUGUAGCGGUGAAAUGCGUAGAGAUAAGGAAGAACACUAGUUGCGAAGGCGGCCUGCUGGACGGUAACUGACGGUGAUGCGCGAAAGCGUGGGGAGCAAACAGGAUUAGAUACCCCAGUAGUC
rnacentral:rRNA from 1 species